rnacentral:rRNA from 1 species
AGGACAAACGCUGGCGGCGUGCCUAAGACAUGCAAGUCGAACGGAAGGCUUCGGCCUUUAGUGGCGGACGGGUGAGGAGCGCGUGGAGAACCUGCCCCGGGGUGGGGGAUAACAGUCGGAAACGAUUGCUAAGACCGCAUACGACCAUUUGCCGCAGGGUGGGUGGGGAAAGCAGCAAUGCGCUUGGAGAGGAGUUCGCGGCCGAUUAGUUAGUUGGCGGGGUAAUGGCCCACCAAGACGAUGAUCGGUA